GCCGCAAGCUGAGCCGCGUUGCGUGAGCCGGGAUGCCGCGAGCUGAGCCGCGUGGCGCGAGCUGGGAGGCCAUGGGCUGAGCUGUGCGUCGUGAGCUAGGAAGCCGUGAACUGAGAGGCCACGAGCUGAGCCGCGUCCCGCGAGCUGUGAUGCCACGAGCUGAGCCGCGUGCCGUGAGCUAGGAGGCAGCGAGCUGAGCCACGUCCCACGAGUUAGGAAGCCGUGAGCUCAGCCGUGUCCUGCGAGCCAAGAGGCCGCAUUCUGUACCGCAUCGAGCCACUUUGCUGAACUUGUAGUCUGAAGCGUCCAACACCUUGUCAUCUUGUCCUCUCUUCUGGAGCCAGAUUCAGUCAGAAUCAGAGACUCAGAGCAAGUCAGUCUAAGAGAAUAACGAAUCUUCCCUCGAAAUAAUAAACUCCUCAGGCUCCUUUUUGGGACAGUGAGAUUUGGCCAGCGCUAUGCAUUGAACCCAACCACAACCUAAAUAAUAAAAACCAUGGAAGGUAAAGUUUUCCCUCACCAGAGCACUCGAGGAUGCCGCGAGCUGAGCCGCAUGGCGCGAGCUGGGAGGCCAUGGGCGGAGCUGCGUGUCGUGAGCUAGCAAGCCGUGAGCUGAGAGGCCACGAGCUGAGCCGCGUCCCGAGAGCUUGGAGGCAGCGAGCUGAGCCACGUCCCACGAGCUGUGAUGACACGAGCUGAGCCGCGUCCCGUGAGCUAGGAGGCAGCGAGCUGAGCUACGUCUCACGAGUUAGGAAGCCGUGAGCUCAGCCUUGUCCCGUGAGCCAGGAGGCUGCAAACUGUACCGCAUCGAACCAAUUUGCUGAACUUGUAGUCUGAAGCGUCCAACACCUUGUCAUCCUAUCCUCUCUUCUGGAGCCAGAUUCAGUCAGAGUCAGAUACUCAGAGCAAGUCAUACUAAGUGAAUAACGAAUCUUCCCUCAAAAUAAUAAACUCCUCAGGCUCCUUUUUGGGACAGUGAGAUUUGGCCUGCACUGUGCAUGGAACCCAACCACAACCAAACUGAUAAAAACCCUGGAAGGUAAAGUUUUCCCUCUCCAGAGUACUCGAGGAUGGCAUGAGCUGGGAGGCUGCAGCCAGACCAGGGAGGAGAAUGAGGAGGUGUGGCUGAAAUGAUGGGCAAGACGUGACAGUUUUGGCUGACAAUUUUUUGGUUUUAUUAUAGUGGAGUUUGGCCAACAGUUGGCAUUAGGGAUGUGGUUAUGGUUUUUAUUAUAGGUAAUGUGUAGUUAGGUGACAGCAAGAAUUAUGGUUUGGUUUGCCAUUAUAUUUAGAGUAAGUUUUGAAAUUAGACUGGGCUGGUGUGGGACUGGGCUUAGAACUAGGCAUGAAGGUUAGGGGUGGGUUAGUUUCUUAUGGGGCCUCAUCAAGUUUUUUUUUCCUUCUAUUUAGCUGCAAACAAAAAUAUCAAACAUACUACAAUAUAAGGAAUAGCACAAAUAUCAGAUAGCAUGGAAACUCUGGGGGGAAGAAAACAAGAAAUAUAUAAAGAUAUUAGCACUAUUAACAAUAAUACGACAAUUAUUAAAAUAAAAUACAAUGCAAACACCUCACAUACUUAUAGUUAUUUUGUAUAAAUUAAGGUCAAGUCACAUAUCAAAUAAAUUAGCAAAUGAUUACACGGCAACACCAGACAAAUAACCACAGGCCCUGUCUUGAUGUAUGGAUAUGUGUCUUAUAAGCUCUUUUUUUCAGGGAAAUACAGAAGGAAAGACAGAACAGAAGAAAGGAAAAAUAGAAGAAUAAUAAAAUCAACUAAAUAAUAUGAAUAAUACAAUGAUUAGGCAUUGUGACGUGGUGAACAUGUGUAGACUAUUGAGGCUGCGCACUGUACUUCCCCCUUAAGGGUCGGCAUGUGUGUGUUUGCGUCUUUCUGUGUGUUGGGGAAGAUAAAAGCAACACAUCAAGGGGUAGAGAUGGAAGAGAGGAGAGGUGGGAGCAAAGGGAAGAUUGAUGGGGGGAAGGUUGUUGUUUGGUCAACGCAGGUUGGGCCGCCGUGCACCGUGAGCGGAGCAGAGGAAGAGGCAGUGGAGCCCCCAGGACAGCGCCCCCCCAUGGCAGACCACACCGAACUGCUACCCCUGUCUAGGAUAGAGUUUGUUUGUCUUUUUUUCCCCUUUAGUCUGUAUGAAUAGGAGAGAAGACUGAUCUGGUGUCAUGCAUUAGAAGAAGCAGGUCCUGCCAGCUGGUCCAGCCCAGAGCAGGAGAGAUCAGUAGGCGGGAAAGCGGCCAGCGGAGACGCAGACCAGCUUGGAGACCCAUCCUCAGGACACUGGACGACCCAACGCCGGUGAUGUGAUUAGGAGGCUGGUGAUGUCAACAUUGGUUGAAAGAAAGAGAGGAAGAAGAAGAAAGGAAGACAAGACUCGACAUUUGCCGGCGAUGAGAGCUGGUGCAAUUGUAAAAAAAAUACAUACAAAUAAAGAUGAUAUUAAUGAAAUGAACGAGAAAA